GUAGGGAAUCUUGCGCAAUGGGCGAAAGCCUGACGCAGCCAUGCCGCGUGAAUGAUGAAGGUCUUAGGAUUGUAAAAUUCUUUCACCGGGGACGAUAAUGACGGUACCCGGAGAAGAAGCCCCGGCUAACUUCGUGCCAGCAGCCGCGGUAAUACGAAGGGGGCUAGCGUUGCUCGGAAUUACUGGGCGUAAAGGGAGCGUAGGCGGAUAGUUUAGUCAGAGGUGAAAGCCCAGGGCUCAACCUUGGAAUUGCCUUUGAUACUGGCUAUCUUGAGUGUGGAAGAGGUAUGUGGAACUCCGAGUGUAGAGGUGAAAUUCGUAGAUAUUCGGAAGAACACCAGUGGCGAAGGCGACAUACUGGUCCAUUACUGACGCUGAGGCUCGAAAGCGUGGGGAGCAAACAGGAUUAGAAACCCUAGUAGUCC
rnacentral:rRNA from 1 species